UACGUAGGGGACGAGCGUUGUCCGGAAUUACUGGGCGUAAAGGGCGCGCAGGCUGUAGAUCAAGUCAGCUGUGAAAUGUCUGGGCUUAACCCGGGCAUGCGGUUGAAACUGAUGUACUGGAGUGCUGUAGAGGCAAGUGGAAUUCCCAGUGUAGCGGUGAAAUGCGUAGAUAUUACACAGAACACCGAUUGCGAAGGCAGCUUACUAAUCCAUCAUUGACGCUGAGGCACGAAAGCGUGGGGAUCAAACA
rnacentral:rRNA from 1 species